rnacentral:rRNA from 1 species
UACGUAGGGGGCUAGCGUUGUCCGGAUUUACUGGGCGUAAAGGGCGCGUAGGCGGCGCAACAAGUCACUUGUGAAAUCUCCGGGCUUAACCCGGAGCGGCCAAGUGAUACUGUCGUGCUAGAGUGCGGAAGGGGCUACUGGAAUUCUCGGUGUAGCGGUGAAAUGCGUAGAUAUCGAGAGGAACACCUGCGGCGAAGGCGGGUAGCUGGGCCGACACUGACGCUGAGGCGCGAAAGCCAGGGGAGCGAACGGG